AGCAGUAUGGUGUAAUUAUGCACAUGGGGAUUCCUUAGUAGAAAUGGGAUAUGAUCAACCCUGAGGUCCUUGUUCGAAUCAAGGUACUGCUA